rnacentral:rRNA from 1 species
UACGGAGGGUGCGAGCGUUGUCCGGAAUUACUGGGCGUAAAGGGCGCGUAGGCGGCACGGCAAGUCAGGAGUGAAAGCCCUGGGCUCAACCCGGGAACUGCUUUUGAAACUGCCGAGCUAGAGUGCGGAAGGGGCAACUGGAAUUCCCAGUGUAGCGGUGAAAUGCGUAGAUAUUGGGAAGAACACCUGAGGCGAAGGCGGGUUGCUGGGCCGACACUGACGCUGAGGCGCGAAAGCCAGGGGAGCGAACGGG